CGGAGCUGCUGGGAUCGCACCAUGGCCUGGCUCCCUCUCCUCCUCGCAGUGCUCGCCCACGGCACAGGUUCCCUAGUCCAGGCAGCGCUGACUCAGCCACCCUCCGUGUCAGCCAACCUGGGACAAACCGUCCAGAUCACCUGCUCUGGGAGUAGCAGUGGCUAUGGCUACGGAAGACUGGUACCAGCAGAAGGUCCCUGUCACUGUGAUCCAUGCUAACUUAUACAGACCCUCGGGCAUCCCUUCACGAUUCUCUGGAUCCUUGUCCGGCUCCACGGGCACGUUAACCAUCACUGGGGUCCAGGCCAAGGACAAGGCUGUCUAUUACUGUGGUAGCUGGGACAGCAGCAGCAGUGCUGGUCAUUGUCUUGGUGGUGCUGAGUUUAAUUUUUUCUUACUGUUCUUUGGUGCACCUUCCCCUGAGUGGCAAAGAGCACUGACUCAGCUGCCCUCGAUGUAUGUGUCUCCAAGAGUAAACAACCGGUUCUCCUGACCCAGGAUUGACAAUAACUAUGGCUGGUUCCAGCAGAAAGUCC